rnacentral:rRNA from 1 species
GACGAACGCUGGCGGCGUGCUUAACACAUGCAAGUCGAACGGAAAGGCCCUGCUUUUGUGGGGUGCUCGAGUGGCGAACGGGGGAGUAACACGUGAGUAACCUGCCCUUGACUUUGGGAUAACUUCAGGAAACUGGGGCUAAUACCGGAUAGGAGCUCCUGCUGCAUGGUGGGGGGUGGAAAGUUUCGGCGGUUGGGGAUGGACUCGCGGCUUAUCAGCUUGUUGGUGGGGUAGUGGCUUACCAAGGCGUUGACGGGUAGCCGGCCUGAGAGGGUGACCGGCCACAUUGGGACUGAGAUACGGCCCAGACUCCUACGGGGGGCAGCAGUGGAGAAUAUUGCACAAUGGGCGGAAGCCUGAUGCAGAAACGCCGCGUGCGGGAUGACUGCCUUCGGGUUGUAAACCGCUUUCGCCUGUGACGAAGCGUGAGUGACGGUAAUGGGUAAAGAAGCACCGGCUAACUACGUG